AGUAGAAACUUCCCGACCAGCCCCCAACCUACCCACCUCCUUCCGCAGGAGGCAGCCGUCGCGGGUGAGCGAGCGACGGUGAGGGAGCCCGCGGCGCCGUGACUGGCCGCAGACGGAUCCACCUCCUUCCAAUCUCUGAUUCCCCACACCCGUCGCCGUACUUCUCAUUUUCUCCCGACCAAGAGCGCCGGCGACCUUGCUCUUCUUCCUCCUCCAGACCAAAUGUGUCACCAGUCCCGCUCCUCUUCCUCCUCCUGGCACGCGCGCCGCCAUCCCCGCACCUCCUUCCUCUCCUCCUGGCACGUGCGCUACCGUCCCCGCGCCUCCUUCCUCCUCCUGGCACCCGUGCCUCCUUCCUCCUCCUAGCACCCGUGCCGCCGCCCCCGCACCUCCUUCCUCCUCCUAGCACGCGCGCCGCCGCCGCACCUCCUUACUCCUCCUGCCAUGCGCGCCGCCGCCCCGACCUUCCCUGCCGCACUCUCCUCCCAGGCUCCUGCCGCCGCCCCGACCACAUCUCCACCAGCUCCGGCCACCGCCGCGCCCCCAUCUCCCCCGGCUCCCACACCGCGCAUCUCGUCCUAGUGGGGCUCCAUAACCACAGUACCGGACCACCCCAGGCCAUUCAACGCCACCAACCCGGUCCGUUCAUUGCAGCAACACCCAGGAUCUGGCUACCACCAUGUCAUUCCCACGGUGACGUUCGAUGGAGCACCUCGUCUCUCUCCUGCUGCAGGGAGGCCCAGCUACUGCACUGUGGAGUGAGCUGUAAAAAAUAAAAAAUGUGGCAAAUUAGGUAGAGAUUAAACAUCCCCCGGAGCACAUCGUCGGUGUCCAUGAGCGGGGCUCCCGUGGAUGGCUGGAUCCCGUCGUCGGCGUCGAUAGCGUCCACGAGCGCGAGCACCCCACAUCCGGCGUACAAAUAGCUCCACUAGAAUUGGUAACUGGUGGAGAUCAUUCAUGUUGAUUACUUUUGACAAGAAUAAUAGUCCGCUAGAGAAUUUGCUGAAGAUUAGAUAGGAGUGAAAAAACUAAAGGUUUGGAAGUGAUGGUCGCGGCCUCUUCCUUCUGUAGGUCACCGCCUCCUGCUUCUGCAGGCCGUGCCCCAUCCCCCGAUUCCCGCAGCAGACAGGCCGUUCACCGCCGGCACCACAGUCCCUUCACUGCCGACAACCGAGGCCGUUCAACGGCGCAACGACGAGUAUGAGAAGAUUUGUAGAUGCACAACAGAGUUUGCAGACUGCCAUGUUAAACAAUGUCAACAGGCAACAAGCAGCAAGGGAAAAAGAAGAGCAAGAUUGACAUCAGUAGUCAAAAAUAAUAGAACAUCAGUUCUAAAAUUCCCCGCGCAUCAGUACACCUAUUUCUGGUUCUCUAGAUUGGUCUUGGUACAGGAUACAUCUUAAGCUUGGUCUUGGUACAGGAUACAUCUUAAGCUGGAGUUCGUCGCUAAGCAGAUGGAGAUGUGUGUAUGUAUACAUGUGUUCUGGAGAUAGGAGAACUUAUCUGGUGGUGUGUGCGUGCUGCUGCAUCCUCUUCGGGCUGCUCUAAUUCACACCUUCAGUACAACUUCUUUCAGCGAGGUGGAGAUUGGGGCACGGUGGAGUGUGACCGUGUGUGUGCAUACGGCCCACCGCAACGUCACCGGCCGGAUCCCGCUCUUCAGUGUACAGCAAGAAGUUCAUGUAUUGAUGCCCCUGGAGUCCAUGUAGCUCUGCUGCCGUGCUACCCUUAUCGGCCUCGGCUAUGUCGAAGGAGCUCCCUUCUGUUCAGUGGAUUCAACAAAAAAAAGUCCCUGCUGCCACUGCAUCCUGAGUUCAAGGGAUUCCUUAGGGGCCUUCUACACCAUCUUGCUAAUGAUGCCAUCGCUGGAUGCCACAGCCAUGCUCGUGUUCUUGUACUGCCAUUCACAUACUGCUCCCUGUUUUACUUCAUUGAGAUCCAUAGAAAUAAGUUAUAUUCAGUUCGCCACUUUUACAAUUGAUGGUCUUAUGUUGACCGAAACAAUAGUUCAAGCUCCUAAAAAAGCAAUUAUGUGUAUGCUACAUCACUUUGAGGAACUACAGCAAACAAAAUAAGGAGAGCUUGGUACUACAUGAUUUUUUUAUAGUACUACUUGAAGCC